AUCAACAAUAACUGCAUCUGAGAAUUAUAGUUCUACAGUAACCGUGGAGUCUAGGUCAACAAUUACUAUUUCUCAUCCAAGCCGUUUUUGUUUAACUGCUACACAUUCCCUGACUCUGCCAAGGAAAAGGGUAAAAUCAAAAUGAUAUCCUGAGGACCUAAGCACUGAUGAUUCCACCGUUUCAAGAGCUUAAUCACUUGUCACCAGAUUAUGGAAAAAAAAUAAAGAACAAAAAAUUAAAAUUCGAAGAUUGCAACAAGCAAAUUUGCGCCAAAGAAAUUAAAUUAGAUGUCUCAAGUCAUUAUUAAAAUACUUACAUGAAAUAAUAACAUGAUUUUAUGGAAAAGCCCAACAUACUACAUAUUUUAUUUGACUUGUAAAAGCACUUGUUUGUAUAUUACUACUAAUAAACUCUCUAAUCUAAUCUAUUGUA